rnacentral:pre_miRNA from 1 species
AUAGUACUCCCUCCGUUCGGAAAUACUUGUCGCCAAAAUGGAUGUAUCUAGAACUAAAAUACAUCUAGAUACAUUCAUUUUUCCGACAAGUAUUUCCAAACGGAGGGAGUAACAG